rnacentral:rRNA from 1 species
CCUACGGGAGGCAGCAGUGGGGGAUAUUGGACAAUGGGGGGGAACCCUGAUCCAGCGACGCCGCGUGAGUGAAGAAGUAUUUCGGUAUGUAAAGCUCUGUCAGCAGGGAAGAAAGCAAUGACGGUACCUGACCAAGAAGCCCCGGCUAACUACGUGCCAGCAGCCGCGGUAAUACGUAGGGGGCAAGCGUUAUCCGGAAUUACUGGGUGUAAAGGGAGCGUAGACGGUGAUGUAAGGCUGGAGUGAAAGGCGGGGGCCCAACCCCCGGACUGCUCUGGAAACUAUGUGACUGGAGUGCAGGAGAGGUGAGCAGAAUUCCUAGUGUAGCGGUGAAAUGCGUAGAUAUUAGGAGGAACACCAGUGGCGAAGGCGGCUCACUGGACUGUAACUGACGUUGAGGCUCGAAAGCGUGGGGAGCAAACAGGAUUAGAUACCCUUGUAGUC